GCAAUCUGCGUCCAGGAAGGGAGAAUGGGGCGGACGGCACAGAUCGCCCCAUUCUCCCUUCCUGGACGCAUCCGCA
rnacentral:pre_miRNA from 1 species